GGUUGAAAAAAACGUCUUGAUGUUGAAGUUGCUGAGCGGAAAACAAAGGUAGACUUGGGUAAAUCGUUGGAAACGUAGAACGUAUACCAGUUCUACGGGGUGAAGUGAAA
rnacentral:lncRNA from 1 species